UGCUGACGCCGCUUCGCCCUGC
rnacentral:misc_RNA from 1 species